GUGUUGGUACUGGGGGCACCUCGAGCAAUGUUAGAUAGGCAAUCCACCGAUAACAUUUGGAAAUUGGUGGAAUUGCUGGCGGGGAGAUUCGAGAAUGAGGGGAAAUGCCGGUGACUCUGCUCCCUGGGGAAGGGAAAUGUAACCCUUUUGUGACAUCGGGAGGGGAACUGAGAGAGUUAAAAGCUAGAGGUUGCUGUUUGGGGUUUGGGCUGCCCAUUUGGCAUGGUGAAUUUGUAUUAAUGGUUUGUUGGUAAGGAGCUUUAUAUACAUAUUCUUGUGGGUCCCAGGUAGGUAACUUUAGAAUUUUUAAUUGAUACAGGGCUCCAAACUAGUGUUUUAAAUCGGCGGUAAGAUUCUGAGUUAGGAUUUAAAUUAUCAAGGAAGAUUAUAAAUACAGUAGGUGUGUGUAAUGGGGGUAAUGGAAAAAAGUUGCACAGUGCAAACGUAGUUUUGGUUAUUAGGGGUAAAAGAGGAUGAUAGCUGUGGAGGUGGCUUUAAGCCCUUAUAAGGGAAACAGAUUGGAGUUUGGUGUGUUGUUAGGUAAACAGUGGUGUUUGCCUGUGGAAGACGAAAAACAUGUAGACUGCAGAGGAAUUAAUGGCAUGAGACUUUGCAGUACAAAAGAAGAACAAGAAAAACAAAGGGCAACUAGGAGUUAAAUCGAACUGCACGGAUUAGCAUCUGUGAAAGGGGACCAAUUGAGCUUGAGCGAGUCCUGGGAACAAAAACCAUUCAAAACAUAAGGACUUGGCUCAGACUUUUAAAUGCCAGCUGCAUUCUAUUUUUACAUGGGAACAGAGCACCACUGGGGGAAAGAAGGGGCCUCCCCCUCUUUGGAAAGCAUAAAAUCACACUGUUUCUUUCAAUAAAUGACUUCGUUACUCUCGAGUGCUGAGAAAUGAACAGAAAUAUGACGAAUGAAAAGGAAAUUGAAGAAUGAACAUUCCCGGUGGUAUACUCCUGAGCUGGACGGAGGGAAGGAUAUAUUGAGUACUCAUCAGAGGUUUUCAUCACCGAUCGCUGGAUGACACAGUGGAACAAGCACAAUGUGUUAUUCGUGCCUGUGAGGACUGUCAGCACUUAGUACCUCUUCCUUUAUUACAUGCUACAAAUCCCCAUGGUCUUCAAGCCAACGAAUUAUGGCAAACAGAUGUCACACAUAUUCCAUCCUUUGGAAAACUUAAAUAUGCACAUGUUACAGUUGACACAUUUUUGGGAUUUGUAGUCACCACGGCGCACUCAGGACCGUGGAAUCACCCAUGUAACAGGCAUUCCUCGUUCACCUACAGGACAAGCAGUUGUGGAGCGCAUGCAUCACUUCUUAAAAACUAUGCUUGAAAAACAAAAAAGGGGGAAUCUCCUCCUUUCUCCACAAGAGAGACUAGAUAAAGUGAUGUCACUUAAUUUUUUACAUCUUUCUGGAAUUAAGAAUUACAAAACGGCAGCUCAAAGACGAUUUCAGUUUGCUCAGACUCCUGAGAUAUAUUUGAAAGUUUUUAUAAACAUGUAGAGUCAGGCAAAUGGGACGGGCCUGUACCACUUUUAACAUGGGGACGAGGUUAUGCUUGCGUUUCUCUUCUUUCAGGUCCAUAUUGGAUUCCAGCAAGGAGCGUCAAGCCUGCUCAGACGAUUUUCAGAGACAUCGAAGAAGAUGUAUCUCUGGACACAUGAAGGAUCAAGAAUGAGAAAACAAUGGUGUAUGUUGUGUAUAUGUGUAACGUUAACAUGGAAUGUUCAGGUUGAUGCAAAUGUGUGCUGGGCGCACAUUCUGGAUCCUCCAGUGUUCCGAUUGUUAACCUGAUGGGAUGCUUCUCCACCAAUUAGUAGUAAUGAUACCCAAUGGUCCAGAGGGGUAUGGCUUCCUCCUGCUUCGGAUACUUAAAUGUUUGAAAUGAAUGAAACAACCAUGGUAACAGAUUUUCCUCCUAUAUGUCUCAUUAAUGCCAGUGAUUCAGAAUUUUGUUUAAGGAUGCAACCACAACAACGUCUAGUAGCAAUAAAAAGCAAGACUCGUGAAUUUUGCAAUUGUUACCAUUCCUGGUCUAUCGUUACACAAUAUUACUCCUAUAAAAAACUCAGAGUCCCUGCACCCUUCUAGUUUUCAUCAUUCUUUAGUAUGGCAUAAUGGAGGAUCUGCAGGGUCUGUUCUUCAGUAUUAUUUUUACACUAAUUCACAGCUAUCUCCUGCACAUACUAACCUUUGGCGUCUUGGCUCACCUUUUUUUCAGUGGAAGCUAUAUCAAGUAUCUUUAUAUGAUAGUCAUACUAAUGCUUACUUAACUUUGCUAAGAGAAGAUUCUGUUACAAUGAGCACUACUCACCCUUACUUGAUUGUAAUCGCACCUACUAUUCACAUUAUUUUAUGUAGUCAUUCCUUUUGUGUGAUGUUACACUCUCCCAAGUUUAAGGCAUGCAUAGCACAUACUGAUGUGAUAAACAGUACAUACAUCUUUCUUUUACAGUGGCGUCCAGAGUUAUGGUUACCUGUUAACACGAAACUGGGAAGGCGAGAAUGGCUUAGCCCAAUUUGCUAGGUACUGCAAGUCACGUUAGUUGUCACAAUGCUUCAAUUCCUCUGGUCAGCUCUUCGAAGAGUUAAAAAGGUAGAAGCUCGAGUUAUGGCCACACUGGUUAUAAAAGAAAUGGUCAUAAACAAAAAAGGGGGAGGGGUGGAAGAUGAAAAACAUGUUAACUGCAGAGGAAUUGGCAGCAUGAGACUUUGCAGUACAGAACAAGAACAAGAAGAACAAGGACAACUAGGAGUUAAAGUGAACUUGAUUGAGUGACUCCUGGGAACAAAAACCACCUCAUUCAAAAGAUAAGGACUUGGCUCAGACUUUUGGAUGCCAGCUGCAAAGGACCCUUAUCUUCAUUCUAUUUUUACAUGGGAACAGGGCACAGCUGGGGGAAAGAAGGGGCCUCCCCUUCUUUGGAAAGCAUAGAAUUUUCUUUCAAUAAACGAUUUUGGUACUCUCA